GGGAAGAAGAAGAAACCAGAGGAGAGUGCAGUUUAUGCUGUUGUGAAGAAACGAUCAUCUACAGAUGACAGUCUGACGUACGCUCAGGUUCUCCCCCACAAGAAAGGUAAAGCCAAGAGAGACAAAGGACAAUCAGCAGCUGAAGAAACAGUUUAUUCUGAAGUGAAACCAGGAAGAGCUGCAGACCAAUAAAGAGUUGUGUAUCUCCAAAUCUACUGGAGUGGAGGACAAAAUGGAAACUACAUCCAGUAAAACAGCAGAUAAAUCACAAAGUACCAACAUUUUAGAGAUGAAUAUGAACUUAAUCUCCUGUUUAUAAUGUAAAUAUUCCCAUUGUGUGGUCAUUUAUUCCACAGAGCAACAGUUUGCAGUUAUUAAGUUUAAAGUGACUUUAAAGUCGGCGUGUUUUUCAUGUCAAACAUCAUUUCCUGUUAGAUGAUCAGAGCAUUUUCUGUUUUAACAAUAAACUGAUAGAUUUGAUGAAUAUUUUGUUCCUCUGAAUAC